ACCAGACAUAGCUUAGCCAUCAUUCAGGAAGAAAAACUGUUCAAUUUUGAAGCUCAUACUUAAAUAAAUUAUGAGAAUGUCAAUGAUUAGAGCUAAGAAAUAACAUGUGAGUAAAGCCAUUAAACUGCAACUCAAACCAACUUGUGGCCAGAUCCACAGUUAUUGACCUUCAAAUCCAUCAUUAGAACUUAAUUUAUCAUAAAAAGCAAGCUCAGAUUUCCAGCAGUUAGCAUUUCGAAUAGAGGCAGCAUGUAUUUGACCAUAAGAUAUGUAGUUUGAGAUCUAACUAAACAUGUGAAAUCAGCUACAAUUUCAUCCACAAAAUUGCUAAGGAGACCAUUUCCUCAAUCAUGCAAAUCCAUAACAAGUUUAAGGUCUAAAGCAUAUUAAAACUAACAUUCAUUCAUGUUUACAAACAGAAAUAGUCAAUUAACGCAACCAUAACAAAUAACUUUAAGGAAUAACUAACAUUUCAUUGUAAAUCAAACAGAGGUACAUGUGCAGCGAGAUGUGUACCUAAACUUGCAAAUGAAGCUAAAUUUUGCCAAGUAAAGAUCAAGGAGUAUAGCUAACAAAGAGCUCAAAACAGAGCAGCAGCAGAGAUCAGGAGGACAAUUUGAAUCCCAGAUGAACAACAGAAAACAACAGCAGCAAUAAAACCAGCAAUUUCUUUCUAUCAAACCAAACUUUGAACUCAGAAAUGAUGCCAAAAUCCCAAAGUGACUAGAAGCAGCUUUCAAUCUUUAUAUCUCUCUGAUUUUUGGAGUGUUUUUAACAGCUUUUUAAACUCAAAUUUUAAAAAAAACCUAAAUUUCUAGUAGCUGUGAUCCUUUUUUGUCUAAGAUUGUGUGUGCUUUUUUUUUUAGUGAAUAUGCUGAAUAUUAACCUCCGUGUAUGAGGAGUAUAGGGUCCCUUUUAUAGAAUGUGAGAGUGCAAGAUGAUAGGAAUGAGAGAGAGUGAGGGAAUCUGCCAGCCUUCCUUAAAAUCAGGGAAUUGACAUCUUUUCAAAUCAGAAAAUGGACAGAUGUCCAAUUUCUGGAUAUUUCCUCUCACUCUCAUCUCUUUUCUUAACAGAUUGGGACAUAUGUCCCUAUUUUUAGAAACUUCUUUUAUUCCCAGAACCUAUGAACUUCUGAAAAGUUCACGCUAUUCUCUAUUAACCCAAAUAUUCAAAGAAUUAAGCCAAAUGACCAACAAGCUUAGGCCCAAACUAAUUGGGCUUUUUAUUUGUCAAGCAUGGCAACUCAUCAAGUUCCAAAACCAAAACAGCCCAAAAGAUAAAAAAUAAACAAAAUGACUGAUUUUGAACAAUUAAAGCUAACACUAUAAAAAUGAUAAAUACAAAGAGUUUAACAUGACUAAACUAACUGAAACAUUAAUGAUGAAGUUAAACUUGUUAAUUAGCAAAGGAAUCUAAAAAUCAGUGAUUAAGCUAAAAUUAGAGAACAAACAAAACAUAGACAAUCUACUAAUUAAUUCUAACUAAAUUACUGAAUUAAUUAAAAACGAUUCAAUUAACCUAAACACAUGCGAUUAACUAAUUGAGGUCAUGCAAUUGAAUUGUUAAUCUACUCAUGCAAAUACAGAAUCGGAUAAUAUGCAAAGUGUCUAACUAAAUUGAAUAAAAAUGUAAAACACAGGUUCAAGGAAAUUAUUAAUUCUGAACAAAAGAAAAGGAUCACGGAGUUACCAAUUGAAGUCUAAGAGCUGAUAAUAAAGAGACUGGGAAUCGAUAUUAACUCCGGUAAACCGAACAAACUUCGGUGGCCGUGGGAUGAACUGAGACUAACAUCAAUCGAUUGCUCUCAUCAAGAACAAUUAAUUUAUGUAGGUUUUGAGUCCAAACGGGCCCGGGUC
rnacentral:lncRNA from 1 species